rnacentral:lncRNA from 1 species
CUUCUGUGUAGCUUCUGUGGGAUUUUUUUUUUUUUUAAUUUCUGUUUUGCAGAUGGGAAAUAGAGAUGUUUGUAGGAAGUCUUCUGACUUGAAACAAAACCCUCAAACCACUCCAAAAUAACUUAUCAAGUUCUCUCCAUGCCUUCUGGUGGACCUUAUGGAUUUUCAGAUGCUGGUGAUGUAUAAAAGUGAAAAUGGUCACUGCAGAGUUUGGAAGGCCUGGAGAGCCAUGGGUAGAGCCACGAGGCUGGGAGCCCACUGGUAUGUGUGUGGAGGGGAGCAGAGACAGAAAGGAAGUAAUAUUGAGUCACAGCAGUCAAGAAGGAUCAAAGAUUGGCUAUUUUUGACACACAAAAGGUGGUGCUUGGAAAGCUGUAAAUGAUCCACAAGGAAUUAACAGACAAAAGUCUCUGGCUCUGCUCCACCCUAUUGAAGUUGAUGGCAAAACUCCCAUUGAAUUCAGUGGAAGUAACAACUAGGCCUUGUGAGAGUAAACAAUAAAUCAG